ensembl:lncRNA MIR663AHG MIR663A host gene
GCAUGCGGGAGGCACGAGCCCAUUCUCCCGUGACGGUGACUCCAACGGUUGGCUGAGGACGAUUCCCUGAGCCUUGACAAAGCAGGAGCCCUCCGUGGCGGUGCGUCGGUGUCGAGGCUCCAGUCUGACUAAUCCAGGGGGUCGACAAAACAGAUUCGGGACACUAUGCUACACGGAGGGCCUACCAGGAUGCAGAAACAGCAGACGGAGUCCAGGGAAAGCAGUGCGGCAUCCCAGCCUCAGGCCUGCCCGUACGGUGUUCGGAAAUACUAGGCUUUAGAAUUUCACCAUAUGAAUUUUGGGAGAGAGGAGCACAGUUCAGCCCAUAACUAACACACGACGGAAUGAAGUUGAUAAUAGUGAGACCUUGUUGGUACAAGACUAUGUAACAUAACCUGCGCUUCUCAACAAAGAAUUGCUUUUCUGACUUCUGCACUCAAUAGCAAGACAAAUCUCUCCUCUGCCUUCUCCUUAUCAGACUACUCAACAUGAAGGCAAUAAGAAUGAAGACCUCUAUGUAUAAUAAUUGACUUCCACUUAAUAAAUAAGGUUACUUGGUACACUGGUCGACAAAACCUUGAAAUGUUGAUGUUUAAGGGCUGUUGAUUGCUGGCAGCAAAGAAGUCCAACUGUGCUGGUACCCGAGAUAGCGUCUCCACAUUUUCUUCCAGGAUCAUCACCUUUGUUCUAAAUAGCUCCCACAUAGUGUGAACAGAAGUCAUAUGUUUUAGAUUUUCUGCCUUGGCACCCAGGAAACCAGUAUGAUUGAGUAAACAUAUUAAACUUCCUCUGCAUUUCCAGCCUGAACAGAUGUUGAGUACAAGCUGAUCCACCUACGUUCAACCUGAGAGAGUCCACAUCCACAGACUGUUUCAUUUCCCUUUUUCAAUUUACAUAGAAGCAUAGAUUCUUGCUGGCAUAUACAAAUGCGCCAUUUAAGGCAAUCAAAAAUGGUUCCACAUCUCAUCUGAUUUCCACAAUUGUUGCUGUAACGAUGGACUACUGAGGAGAGAGACAAUUUCUCUGGCACAUCUUCCCACAUUUUAGCAACAUGUUCAUGGAGAGCCAAUAUUCAGUAAUUACAGCCCAAUUCCUCACAAUUUCACAAUUCGCUAACAAUAUGCAUUUUCACAAUGUAAAGCUGAUUUUCCUUUAACCAAAUCAAACAUGAAAAGAUAGCUGCAUGCAAUGGGCAAUCUAGAUCAUUAGAAGAUUGAUGUAAAAUUAGAGGACACUGAGACUGGAAUAGAUUGCAAACUUCAGGGAGCUCAGAAAACUUGUAAACUCUACAUUUUGAGGAAAUAUGUUGUCGAUGCUUUUGCAACUCUAUGCAGUAACUUAACAAAUAAAGCCUUAAAGUAACUUA